rnacentral:piRNA from 1 species
UGGCAGAACUUAACGUCAGGUGAUCCAUGGU